UCUCUGUCCUGUCCAGCUCUCUUUCUCCCCAGGUGAUUAUAUUCUCUCCCUGUCCUGUCCAUCUCUCUUUCUCCCCAGGUGAUUGGUGUGAGAUAUGAGAGGUUGGGGGAACAGGUGUGUGCCUGUAUCAGACUGAAGGAGGGACUGGACUGUAGCAGAGAGGAGAUCAGAGAUUUCUGCAAGGGACAGAUUUCUCACUUCAAGAUCCCCCACUAUGUGGUGUUUGUGGACAGCUAUCCACUGACUGCCUCUGGAAAGAUCCAGAAGAAUAAACUGAGGGAGGAGAUGGAGAAGAAGC